GACGAACGCUGGCGGCGUGCUUAACACAUGCAAGUCGAACGAUGAAGCCGGAGCUUGCUCUGGUGAAUUAGUGGCGAACGGGUGAGUAACACGUGAGUAACCUGCCCUUGACUCUGGGAUAACUGCGGGAAACUGUAGCUAAUACCGGAUACGACCCUCGGAGGCAUCUCCUGGGGGUGGAAAGAAUUUCGGUCAAGGAUGGACUCGCGGCCUAUCAGGUAGUUGGUGAGGUAAAGGCUCACCAAGGCGACGACGGGUAGCCGGCCUGGGAGGGUGACCGGCCACACGGGGAGUGGGACACGGCCCAGACUCGUACGGGAGGCAGCAGUGGGGAAUAUUGCACAAUGGGCGCAAGCCUGAGGCAGCAACGCCGCGUGAGGGAUGACGGCCUUCGGGUUGUAAACCUCUUUUAGCAGGGAAGAAGCGAAAGUGACGGUACCUGCAGAAAAAGCACCGGCUAACUACGUGCCAGCAGCCGCCGUAA
rnacentral:rRNA from 1 species